CUGAACCAGCCAAGUAGCGUGAAGGAUGACUGCCCUAUGGGUUGUAAACUUCUUUUAUAAAGGAAUAAAGUCGGGUAUGGAUACCCGUUUGCAUGUACUUUAUGAAUAAGGAUCGGCUAACUCCGUGCCAGCAGCCGCGGUAAUACGGAGGAUCCGAGCGUUAUCCGGAUUUAUUGGGUUUAAAGGGAGCGUAGAUGGGUGUUUAAGUCAGUUGUGAAAGUUUGCGG
rnacentral:rRNA from 1 species